rnacentral:rRNA from 1 species
UACGAAGGGUGCAAGCGUUACUCGGAAUUACUGGGCGUAAAGGGUGCGUAGGUGGUUUGUUAAGUCUGCUGUGAAAUCCCCGGGCUCAACCUGGGAAUGGCAGUGGAUACUGGCAAGCUAGAGUGCGGUAGAGGGUAGUGGAAUUCCCGGUGUAGCAGUGAAAUGCGUAGAGAUCGGGAGGAACACCAGUGGCGAAGGCGGCUACCUGGACCAGCACUGACACUGAAGCACGAAAGCUGGGGGAGCAAACAGG